rnacentral:rRNA from 1 species
CCCUUAGAUGUUCUGGGCUGCACGCGCGCUACACUGGUUCGUUCAGCGAGUUUAGCACCUUAACAGAUAUGUUUGGGUAAUCUUCUGAAAACGCACCGUGAUGGGGAUCGAUUAUUGUAAUUAUUAAUCGUCAACGAGGAAUUCCUAGUAAGUGUGAAUCAUCAGUUCGCGCUGAUUACGUCCCUGCCCUUUGUACACACCGCCCGUCGCUGCUACCGAUUGAGUGGUCCGGUGAAUUAUUCGGACCGGUGGACUGUGGGGUAACUCGCGGUCUGCUGGGAAGUCUUGUGAACCUUAUCACUUAGAGGAAGCAGAAGUCGUAACA